AUUGAACGCUGGCGGCAGGCCUAACACAUGCAAGUCGAGCGGAUGAGAAGAGCUUGCUCUUCGAUUCAGCGGCGGACGGGUGAGUAAUGCCUAGGAAUCUGCCUGGUAGUGGGGGACAACGUUUCGAAAGGAACGCUAAUACCGCAUACGUCCUACGGGAGAAAGCAGGGGACCUUCGGGCCUUGCGCUAUCAGAUGAGCCUAGGUCGGAUUAGCUAGUUGGCGGGGUAAUGGCUCACCAAGGCGACGAUCCGUAACUGGUCUGAGAGGAUGAUCAGUCACACUGGAACUGAGACACGGUCCAGACUCCUACGGGAGGCAGCAGUGGGGAAUAUUGGACAAUGGGCGAAAGCCUGAUCCAGCCAUGCCGCGUGUGUGAAGAAGGUCUUCGGAUUGUAAAGCACUUUAAGUUGGGAGGAAGGGCAGUAAGCUAAUACCUUGCUGUUUUGACGUUACCGACAGAAUAAGCACCGGCUAACUCUGUGCCAGCAGCCGCGGUAAUACAGAGGGUGCAAGCGUUAAUCGGAAUUACUGGGCGUAAAGCGCGCGUAGGUGGUUUGUUAAGUUGGAUGUGAAAGCCCCGGGCUCAACCUGGGAACUGCAUCCAAAACUGGCAAGCUAGAGUACGGUAGAGGGUGGUGGAAUUUCCUGUGUAGCGGUGAAAUGCGUAGAUAUAGGAAGGAACACCAGUGGCGAAGGCGACCACCUGGACUGAUACUGACACUGAGGUGCGAAAGCGUGGGGA
rnacentral:rRNA from 1 species